AGUUACCAGCACGUUAUGGUGGGCACUCUAAGGAGACGUGCCGGUGACAAACCGGAGGAAGGUGGGGAUGACGUCAAGUCAUCAUGGCCCUUACGGCCUGGGCUACACACGUGCUACAAUGGUCGGUACAAAGGGUUGCCAAGCCGCGAGGUGGAGCUAAUCCCAUAAAACCGAUCGUAGUCCGGAUCGCAGUCUGCAACUCGACUGCGUGAAGUCGGAAUCGCUAGUAAUCGUGAAUCAGAAUGUCACGGUGAAUACGUUCCCGGGCCUU
rnacentral:rRNA from 1 species